rnacentral:rRNA from 1 species
UACGAAGGGGGCUAGCGUUGUUCGGAAUUACUGGGCGUAAAGGGCGCGUAGGCGGUGUGUCAAGUCAGGCGUGAAAUCCCCGGGCUCAACCUGGGAAUUGCAUUUGUGACUGCACGGCUAGAGUGUGUCAGAGGGGGGUAGAAUUCCACGUGUAGCAGUGAAAUGCGUGAGGUAUGCGGAGGAACACCGAUGGCGAAGGCAAUCCCCUGGGCCUGCACUGACGCUCGAUGACACGAAAGCGUGGGGAGCAAACAGG